GAUGAACGCUGGCGGCGUGCCUAAUACAUGCAAGUCGAGCGAACGGACGAGAAGCUUGCUUCUCUGAUGUUAGCGGCGGACGGGUGAGUAACACGUGGAUAACCUACCUAUAAGACUGGGAUAACUUCGGGAAACCGGAGCUAAUACCGGAUAAUAUUUUGAACCGCAUGGUUCAAAAGUGAAAGACGGUCUUGCUGUCACUUAUAGAUGGAUCCGCGCUGCAUUAGCUAGUUGGUAAGGUAACGGCUUACCAAGGCAACGAUGCAUAGCCGACCUGAGAGGGUGAUCAGCCACACUGGAACUGAGACACGGUCCAGACUCCUACGGGAGGCAGCAGUAGGGAAUCUUCCGCAACGGGCGAAAGCCUGACGGAGCAACGCCGCGUGAGUGAUGAAGGUCUUCGGAUCGUAAAACUCUGUUAUUAGGGAAGAACAUAUGUGUAAGUAACUGUGCACAUCUUGACGGUACCUAAUCAGAAAGCCACGGCUAACUACGUG
rnacentral:rRNA from 1 species